ACUAGCAUAGGAAGCUUGUAGCCUCUCUUCCUGAGGUAAAGGAGAAGAAAUGGGGGACUGAUAAGAACCCUUAAGAAAGAAUUUAGCUAGGAGGCCUGAGAGAGGGGUUUAACUAGGAAUACUAUGGACAAGGCUUAAAGAAGCAUGGUAGGAAGUAGUCCAGGGAAGACAGCAGUAGGGUGGGUGAAGUCCAGGUUUUAAUGGCUUGCUAUAGGGCCCUGGACUGGAACCCUGAGUAAGGGCAGGCCUGGAUUUCCUUACCAUCCACUGCAGAGUAGUAUUGGUACAGGUAAUGAAUGGGAAGACUGCCUGACUCACUGCAGGAGUGAUAUAGUCAGAGCACUGGGUACGAGGACUACCUGAUGUAGGAGGAGAAGAGAGACUUUGUUUUCCCCUUCCAGGGGAGUCUUUCAAAGUGACCUGGGCUGAGUUACAAAGUGUCUAUACUGCGACUCCAUGAGCAGGAAGAGAGCUGCAGCAAUGGAAGAAAAGGAAGGAGGCACUGAAGCAGAUAGAGCUCAUCUCCAGAGGGAGGCACCACCCAGCUCUGUUUUCCAGGCUUCGUGUAGCAUUCUGAGUAUGCAUUUUCUAUGAUUGAACCUCUACAAAAGAACCUGAUCUCAAAAGCACUGCAGUUUCUGGUACCAGCUCUAGUUAAAGCUGUUUUUGGAAAGAAGAAAAACCUGUUAAAUGUCCAUCGAGGAGCCACAAAAAUAUUCAUAGGUGGGAGGUCAUGUUGUUGUUUUUCUGCACCCAGGAUUCAGGCCUGGGGACACAAUUUCAUGGACCACCAUGGCCAAAUCUAAGCCCAACAAGAUGGAGUGCAGCCACUUGACCAGUUACAGGUUGCUUGUUUGCUCCAAAGAUUUAAUAACUUGAGACGGUGAUUUUCAACCUGUGGUCUGCCAGAGGACUGCCAGAUAUCCGCAUACAAUGCCUAAGAUUUCCAUAGACGUCUGCACCUCCAUUUGAAAUUUUUUUUUAGGGCUCCACAAAGGAAAAAAGCUUAAAAACCACUGAUCUAAGACAAGACUGAAUGUUUUGCUUCUUUACCACCUAGCAUGCAAGGGCUCCAAGCCUGACUGGGGCCUAAGAACAUUAUCUUAAUACAAAUAUAACCCUUCCUAAUUAGUAUUGUUGUUUAUUUAAACUGCUUCAAAAUA